GCCUAACACAUGCAAGUCGAGGGGUAUUAGUAGCUUGCUACUGAGAGACCGGCGCACGGGUGCGAAACGCGUAUACAAUCUACCUUAUGCAGGGGGAUAGCCCAGAGAAAUUUGGAUUAAUACCCCAUAGUAUUGAGAGAUCGCAUGAUUUUUCAAUUAAAGCUUUAUCGGUAAAAGAUGACUAUGCGUCCUAUUAGUUAGUUGGUAAGGUAACGGCUUACCAAGACUUCGAUAGGUAGGGGUCCUGAGAGGGAGAUCCCCCACACUGGUACUGAGACACGGACCAGACUCCUACGGGAGGCAGCAGUGAGGAAUAUUGGUCAAUGGACGGAAGUCUGAACCAGCCAUGUCGCGUGCAGGAAGACGGCCUUAUGGGUUGUAAACUGCUUUUAUACAGGAAGAAACACUGCUACGUGUAGCAGCUUGACGGUACUGUAAGAAUAAGGACCGGCUAACUCCGUGCCAGCAGCCGCGGUAAUACGGAGGGUCCGAGCGUUAUCCGGAAUCAUUGGGUUUAAAGGGUCCGCAGGCGGUCAAUUAAGUCA
rnacentral:rRNA from 1 species